CACGAACGCUGGCGGCAGGCUUAACACAUGCAAGUCGAGCGCCCCGCAAGGGGAGCGGCAGACGGGUGAGUAACGCGUGGGAAUCUACCCAUCUCUACGGAAUAACGCAUGGAAACGUGUGCUAAUACCGUAUACGUCCUUCGGGAGAAAGAUUUAUCGGAGAUGGAUGAGCCCGCGUUGGAUUAGCUAGUUGGUGGGGUAAAGGCCUACCAAGGCGACGAUCCAUAGCUGGUCUGAGAGGAUGAUCAGCCACACUGGGACUGAGACACGGCCCAGACUCCUACGGGAGGCAGCAGUGGUGAAUAUUGGACAAUGGGCGCAAGCCUGAUCCAGCCAUGCCGCGUGAGUGAUGAAGGCCCUAGGGUUGUAAAGCUCUUUCACCGGUGAAGAUAAUGACGGUAACCGGAGAAGAAGCCCCGGCUAACUUCGUGCCAGCCGCCGCCGUAAAAC
rnacentral:rRNA from 1 species